AGAGUUUGAUCAUGGCUCAGAUUGAACGCUGGCGGCGUGCCUAACACAUGCAAGUCGAGCGGUAACAGGCGUAGCAAUACGUGCUGACGAGCGGCGAACGGGUGAGUAACGCUUCGGAAUCUGCCCAAUGGUGGGGAAUAACCAGCCGAAAGGUUGGCUAAUACCGCAUGAGCCCUUCGGGGGAAAGCGGGGGAUCGCAAGACCUCGCGCCGAUGGAUGAGCCGAAGUCGGAUUAGCUAGUUGGUAGGGUAACGGCCUACCAAGGCGACGAUCCGUAGCUGGUCUGAGAGGACGACCAGCCACACUGGGACUGAGACACGGCCCAGACUCCUACGGGAGGCAGCAGUGGGGAAUAUUGGACAAUGGGGGAAACCCUGAUCCAGCGACGCCGCGUGUGUGAAGAAGGCCUGCGGGUUGUAAAGCACUUUUAGUGGGGAUGAAAAGCUCAGGGCUAACACCUCUGGGUCUUGACCUAACCCACAGAAAAAGCACCGGCUAACUCUGUGCCAGCAGCCGCGGUAAUACAGAGGGUGCAAGCGUUAAUCGGAAUUACUGGGCGUAAAGCGUACGUAGACGGUUGGAUAAGUCGGAUGUGAAAGCCCCGGGCUCAACCUGGGAAUUGCAUUCGAAACUGUUCAGCUAGGGUGCGGAAGAGGGAAGCGGAAUUUCCGGUGUAGCGGUGAAAUGCGUAGAUAUCGGAAGGAACACCAGUGGCGAAAGCGGCUUCCUGGUCCAGCACCGACGUUCAGGUACGAAAGCAUGGGGAGCAAACAGGAUUAGAUACCCUGGUAGUCC
rnacentral:rRNA from 1 species